ensembl:lncRNA uncharacterized LOC116747693
GAUUAAGUAGUAGCUGGCUAGCCCUGGAACAACCUGAAGGCUUUUUGGGUAAACGUAGAGCCAGCGUUCUGAGGAAAAAAAGAAGGGUCUAGGAAAGCAGGCCUUAUAUAGCGGUAGCCAAAUGGAGUGAGAAAAGGUGGAACAGAACUGGGUCUUUUUUGCCUGUGUUGUCGUACGGAGCAUAUCCCUUGAAUUUCUAAAGCUGCAACCACCUCUCUGUUUAUGAUGAAUGAAGUCAGGAAAUCUCACGGGCUGUACAUUAAUGAAAGGAAGCAUUUGGAAAGUCAUCUGAUUUCCUCUUAUAGUGUCAUCUCCAGAUGCCUUUGUGUGAUGCAAGGUAAUACGGCAGCCUUUCCGGGAAGAGGGAGCCACAAUACCAGCGGCCGUUACUGAGCAGACAGCAUGGACCAGGGACUCUGCCAGCAUUGCAAUAGUGGAGAUGGAGCCUGCAUCCCCGCGCCUUGACUUUGAGCUUAGCCAAUGGAAAGACUGCAAACUUGAUUGGAGCUUGAAAGCUUUAAGGGUACCUGAGUGUUGGGGCUUGACCUCUGAGGCUUCUGUGAUUCACCAUGAGAAAAAUGUGCCUCAGUAGCUGCUGGUCCAAGGAGAAUGAAGAAACACAUGGAGCAGACCGAAAACCAGCCUGCAGCCUGGAACCAAGCCCUCCUAACCUCAGGGGAAUCCGACCAAGCCAGAGCUGACCCACAGACCUGUGCAUGAAAAAAACAGAUGCUUACUGCUGCAGGCUCCUGAGAAUUGGGGGGUUGCUAUGUGGCAAUAACUAAGUAACACUAUCAGUAAUAACACAUCCUUAGUCUGGAGUCCACAAAUAUCUGUAGUAAGCAACGGACUGUACUUUCCUUAAGCAGUCUUCAUGAAUAUUCAUUUUACCAACAAGCUUUUCAUAAGAAUUGUGCAAUUAUUAGAAUUCCGAAACUAGUCUUCACUGCGGUAUUUAUAAGCAACAUGAAUCAAAUUGAAAAAGUUAAUUUUGCAUGGCUGAAGGUGGUAAGAAAGCAAAUCACUCAUAUCUAUCACAAAAUACAUACAAGAGAGGACAUUUUAAUUCAGUUAUACAAAAAUUUAAAAUCUAAAGCAGGUGACUUGGGAAGAAAACAAGAAGGAAAUAACUUUGCCUUAGGCUUACCUUUUGCCUAGAGCCUACCUAGUUUCUUACUCCUAGAUUUAGGAUUUUUGAUUACGACUGGUUGAGAAGGGGUUAAGCACGGGGCUAGAGCCAGUCCCAGCUGAUGUUAAAGUAGUGCAGAAUAAAAGACAGCAAGACACAAGGCAAACAGAGGCUGAAGAAGAAAGAAAGGAGAGGCUCCUCAGCAAGCCUCUCAUAUCAUUCAUUAACACUAGGAUUUUAUCCUUUGGCUAUUAUAGAAGUUGAUUUUCAUCAGGUUUAGUUAUCCCAAUUUCCAAAGCAUUUUCCAUGUUUCCAUCAUAUUGAGUCUUUUAUAAUAUUUCAAAAUGGAUCUAAUGUGAAAUCCCACUGUUUGUGCAGCCGUAACUAAAAACACCCUGACUCCAUAGAAUUGAAAUUAUUUUUAGAAUGCUAAAAAUUCCCCUGGUGCAAGAGAUAAGGAUGAUCGUGACAUUUUGAAAAGGAAGUGUUUGGUUGGGUUAUGUGUAAAAGAAAGACAGACAGACAGACAGACAGACAGACAGACAGACACACACACACACACACACACACACACACACGGAUCAGAAAGAAUUCAUCAAGAACCAGGAGGACACAGGUUUAUUUUUUCCCAGUAUGAAUCUACACAAAGAGUCAUCACUCUUGCGAUGGAUCAACUAAUGUCAGUAGAGUCUUUAUUAAGAUUUUUCAGGCCACUGAUGAAAGAUACAGAAAUGAUAAAUUUAGAUUCAUUUUAUAAAGCUUUCUAGAUGAGAUUUAAAAAGAAAAGCUAAUCUUAUUCAAACCAGCAAGCACUGUUAUUCAGAAGAAUAAACCCUUUGCAAACAACUUUCUGGUGGCUUCUUUUACACUUUAUUUGAACUCUUGUUUUCAUAACAAGCGGAAACUUUUAUUAUCGUGGUAUUGUAGAAGUAAGUUUAUUUCCUUUAAAGUCUCCUGUAUUCCUGGCAAAGCAUUAGCUUUACUGAAGUUGUCAGACAAAAAUUCUUUGCCAGCUUGAAAAGUCAAACUCUUGUUUCAUUUGGGAAAAAAAUAACUCGCUAAAAAAUUUCUUUCUGUUUGUAACAGAUAGCUUUAAACUACGGUUCUAGCAUAGCUGUUGCAAUUGGAAAUGUUGGAGCAAUGAGUGAAAGAGACAUGCCAUGUGUGAGUGUGGACUAGAAAAUAUGAGUGUGCAAAAACAUAGGUGGAUUCAGCCACAGAGCUAGAGAAAGUGCUAGCACAGUGCAUCAUCCGGUUACCUACCCUUGCCCCCUGAGGCAAGGAAGCUUACGGGCCCCAUGGCCUACGUGGCCCCUUCCAAGGCAAUGUGUUCACAUGGUGCUGUGUUUUUGUAAAAUUUGCAAAAGUAAUAUAUUUCUCCCACAACUAGUUAAGACCACUGUCACUUUCCACUAUGACUUCCCUUUCUUGUAUCGGGUGGCACUAGAGAUGGCCAUGGCAUUUUUGAAAUCUGACUAAGGUGGAGCUGAAGGAGGGAGAGUUUGAUUUCAGUGGCAUAUACCUGUAUUUCAUAUUUAAGUUAUUACUAGCCAUCCUGAUGUAGGAAUGGCUUUCGAGACUACUUCUACCAUCUACUGGGAUGACUCCCUUGAAAUUAUGACAGUGAGGGCCACAGGCAAAAAAUAUUAAUGCGUGCUGUCACACCUAGAAGCACCAGAAGUAUGGAGUAGUGGAGGAGAAAGAAGGCUUGAAAUACAGAAAGCCAGAAGGUACUCUGUGGAACCCUAACCUUCCAGUCCUGAGACACGCAGAACUAUAAGUAGAGGAUUUAGUUCUCAAUAACCCUAAGUCACAAUGGAAGUUCUUUCCCAUCAGGAAGAGACUGACAGCCCAGUGUACAUAAUUAUAAAGGCAUUAUAUCACAUGAAAUAUGUUUCAUGUGCUAUAUAUUUUCAAAUAUAUGAAAUAUAUUUUAAUAGGCUAUAGAUGUAUUUCAUUAUAAAUUUCAUACAUAUCAUUUCACUGUAUAAUUAAACAUAUAUAAGAAAUAUAUGUGACAUAUAUGAACUCAAUAGAAAUAUAUCAUACAUAGGAUAUAGAUUUGAAAUCAAGAGAAAUUAUACUGAUAGGAGAAAUAAGUUAUAACUGAAAGAUUCUUUGAGAUCAUAACAAAAUCAAUAAUACAUGAAGAGGAAGAAAUAAACUUCGAAUAGAAGUGAUGUGCAGACUCUUGGAUUGUUUGCUAAUCCAGUUAAUGAAAAGAAGUAAAUCGUGUAAGCACGUUUGAAGAAAAUUAAAUUUCUUGCCAAUUUGACAAGAAAUACUAAUACUGACAGUGAUUAACACAAAAAUCAUAAUAUAGCGGUAAAUAAGGACAUCAGUGACAAAUUGCUAAAUGAGUGUCAUUAGUUCAAAGAAUGUUUCAGAUUAGUCACCGUGUAAAGAAACUUGAAAUGCCCUGUAUCUGAGAGCUUAUACAUGAAAGAAAUGUGAUAGGUUUUCCAAACUUGACAACAGAUUCUAAAAAUUUACAGGACAGCUUUGGCAGUGAAUGUCAUUUCAACUUGAAAAUGAAUUAGGAAGCUGAAAAUCAAUUUCUAAACUGUCGAUUUUUUAAAAAUUUAAUCAAUCAUGCUAGAUAGAGGAAAGACCUGCAAUUUCCGCUACAGAAAAGAAUUACAAAAUCAUAGUCAUUUGAAGAGUUGAUUAAAGAAAAUUAUAAAGCUGUGUCAGGGAGUUAAUUCACAUAUGUCAUUUUUCUAGAUAUUGUGAUGCUUUUGGUAUUUGCUAACUUUUUAACGUUUGUAAUAUUUUUUUCUCAUUCUAAAUACAUAUUUGAAUUUUUGUACCU